ACUGGGUGUGGUGGUGUGUGCCUGUUGUCCCAGCUACUUGGGAGGCUGAGACAGGGGGAUCUUCUGAGCCCAGGAGGUCUGGGCUGUAAAGCAGUAUGUCAAUUGGGUGUCCACACCAAGUUCAGCAUCAGUAUGAUGACCUCUUCGAAGCAAGGACCACCAUGUUGCCUAAGGAGGGGUGAACAGGCCCAGGUUGGAAACAGAGUAGGUCAAAACUCCCAUGCUGAUCAGUAGUGGGAUAGAGCCUGUGAAUAGCCAUUACACUCUGGCCUGGGCAAUGAAAAAAAAACGUAUAUUU
ensembl:misc_RNA Metazoa_SRP Metazoan signal recognition particle RNA